rnacentral:rRNA from 1 species
UACGUAGGGACCAAGCGUUGUCCGGAAUCAUUGGGCGUAAAGAGCUCGUAGGUGGUUUGUCGCGUUGUUCGUGAAAACUCACAGCUUAACUGUGGGCGUGCGGGCGAUACGGGCAGACUGGAGUACUGCAGGGGAGACUGGAAUUCCUGGUGUAGCGGUGGAAUGCGCAGAUAUCAGGAGGAACACCGGUGGCGAAGGCGGGUCGCUGGGCCGAUACUGACGCUGAGGAGCGAAAGCGUGGGGAGCGAACAGG